rnacentral:rRNA from 1 species
AAACCGUUGAAAGGGAAGCGAAUGGAGUUAGCAAUUCGCCCUGCCAGAUUCAGUUGCUCGCACGUCGCGACGUACGCGCUCUCGAUCCGCAUGGACGAGACGUGUGCGGGUGCGACGUGCGGUCUGCGCACUUCUGGCGAGCGAGCGUCAGCGUCGGUUGUCGACGGGCGACAAGGAUGCGGGGAAUGUGCGCCGGCCUUCGCGGCCGGUUGUUAUAGCCCCGCGAUCGCAUAGCUCGACGGCGACCGUGGCUCUGCGACGCGUGCCUGGCUGGCGACUCGAACGAUCGUUUCGGCAUGUCGACCGUGGCGGACGGCACGCCUGUGCGCUCGAACUGCUGCCGGCCGAUCGGACGAUGUUCGCACACUACGCGUCGAGGAUGCUGACGGCCAUACGGCUCCAUCCGACCCGUCUUGAAACACGGACCAAGGAGUCUAACAUGUGCGCGAGUCUCCGGGUGAUCGAAACCUGUGGGCGCAAUGAAAGUAAAGAUCGUCCUAGACGGUUGAGGUGAGAAGCGAACGCCUCGGCGUUCGCGGCAUCAUCGACCGACCUAUUCUGCUCUCAGAAAGGUUUGAGUAAGAGCGUAUCUGUUGGGACCCGAAAGAUGGUGAACUAUGCCUGAAUAGGGUGAAGCCAGCGG